AAGGUUUUAAGUUAAAUAAACUUGUAGCCUUCAAAGUUAUAAAUAUAAGGAUAAUCUUUUAAACUUUA
rnacentral:tRNA from 1 species